rnacentral:rRNA from 1 species
AUUGAACGCUGGCGGCAUGCCUUACACAUGCAAGUCGAACGGUAACGCGGGGCAACCUGGCGACGAGUGGCGAACGGGUGAGUAAUGCAUCGGAACGUGCCCAGUAGUGGGGGAUAGCCCGGCGAAAGCCGGAUUAAUACCGCAUACGACCUACGGGUGAAAGGGGGGGAUCGCAAGACCUCUCGCUAUUGGAGCGGCCGAUGUCAGAUUAGGUAGUUGGUGGGGUAAAGGCCCACCAAGCCGUCGAUCUGUAGCUGGUCUGAGAGGACGACCAGCCACACUGGGACUGGGACACGGCCCAGACUCCUACGGGAGGCAGCAGUGGGGAAUUUUGGACAAUGGGCGCAAGCCUGAUCCAGCCAUGCCGCGUGCGGGAAGAAGGCCUUCGGGUUGUAAACCGCUUUUGUCAGGGAAGAAAUCUUUUGAGUUAAUACCUCGGAAGGAUGACGGUACCUGGAGAAUAAGCACCGGCUAACUACGUGCCAGCCGCCGCAGUAA